rnacentral:sRNA from 1 species
GUCUAUUAUGAAGGUGGAGGGGAGGUAGAAAGACUCCUUUAGAAAGUGGAGUAGCUUUAGAGUCCCUGUCCAAGAAGCCCAGGGAGUUGGAAACUGUGCCAGAGGGAGCAGGCAAAGACAGCAAGAGUUCACUGGACUUGUCCUUCACCCUGUCUUUUCCAGGGAACUCAGCAGGAUACAGAAGAAAAAAUGCCAAUGGAAUUAACCAACCAGCUCUCUUCUCUGGAGUCCAGGGUGGCUCCAUUGAGAUCCCUUUUUCCUUCUGCUUCUGCUGGGAGUUGGCCAAGUAUCCACAGAUGAGCAUAGCCUGGAGAUGGAAAGACUACCAUGGAAAAUUCAUCUACAACUCCACUCUACCUUUCAUUCAUGAGCACUUCGAGGACAGGCUCAUUCUGAACUAGACAAAGAGUUAGAUAUCUGGACUCCUCAGAAUCCUUAACUUGAGGGAGAAUGACCAGGCCACACACUUCUGUAACAUCUGCCUGAGCACCACAGAAGAUAGGAAGAGAUGGCAGUCGAUUCCUGGGGCCCAACUCUCCAUCGUCCAUGCACUCAGCACCACCAUGAGGAUCCCCUACAUCAUCUCUUCUGCAGUCUUCACAACUGGUCUGGAGGACACAGGAGGUCAGAUGAAUCAUUCACUGCCGAAUCUGGUAGCCAUAGAUGGGAUGAUCAUGGCAAAAUGUUGUGGCCACCUUCCCCAUCUACGGGUGGAUGAUCUUUCUGUUGUGGAAGCAAAGGACUGCAUCUAUGAAGCCUGUUGUCCUUCCUGACCACCUGGAAAUUAGAGGAACAAAUGCAGAUGAACACAGAGCCUGCUCCUAAGGAAUUCAAGGAGGCAUGCAGAAGUCUCAGGGGCUGACUGCACAUCUGGAAUGAGCUGUGGCUCCUAAGGAAUAUCUGAGAGUAGACCAGCAUUUGCAGACAACAUGGUAAGGGCAUUGAUACAUAUAAAAAGUAACACCUCUUUUCGUUGGGCAUGUGUCACUAGAAUGGAAAGUAAUAGACCCAUAAACAGAAAGAAAUCUAUAUGCAGAACCUAUCACUACAACAAGAGAAAGAGUUGGACACUAGAAAUCUAAUCCUCUUGAGCAAAAAUAUGAAACACCUAUUGCAGGGUCUCAGUUGAAGUGAUUGCCCCACGAAGAGGGACAUGAGUAUCCCAUAAACCACAUAAAGAGUUGUCAGAUACUUGGACAGGCAGAGACACUAUGAUUCCUGGGGAUCACUGUGCUGUAAGCCUUACCUUGUGGGUGAGAACUAUGACUGUCCUGUCUCAAAAUCAUGAGAGAACGUCUCCCAAAGGACAAUGUCAAGGUUUUCCUCUACCAUCCACAUGUGUCUGCACAUAUGCAAAUAUACACAAGUGUCUCUUAAAGUAAAUUUUAAGAAACACUGGAGAAAUAUUUUAAAUGUAGUGAUAUUUGCAGAAUGGCAAAUUUUAUACAUGAAGUUCUGACAACACACAUGCACACACACACACAUAGCUAAAAAUACAAUGAAUUUCCUGUUUGAAAUACAAAUGCAUUUCUGUAAAAAUAAAUUAUUUGUCUUCAAACAUUCAUGGUUACUCUAAGAAAUAAAAAUGGGGACACAGAGGGGGACACAAUAAUCUCAGCCGGAGGAUAAUGCAGAGUGGUUCAAGGUUAUCUACAGUUGCAUAGCACCAUGGGUCACUAGGCUCCAAAGACCUUGUACACACAUUACAAGACUCAAGUGUGGACUGAGGUCAUAGUGGAUUUAAAGCCGUGGGACCUAGAAGACUAAACAAUAAGGACCUAUAUGCAUGAAUGGUAGAGGGUUUGCAAAUACCAUUUAACAAUGUUAAAUAUUAAGU